rnacentral:tRNA from 1 species
GGCCGUGUGGCGAAAUGGCAUCGCGUCUGACUACGAUUCAUUGAAUUGGCAUCAGGAGAUUGCAGGUUCGACCCCUGUCUCGGUCA